AUGGGAGCGCCGAGGUUCCCGGGCGCAGGAGUGCUGAGCAAAAAGGGGGAGCGUCCGGGGGUCUGCGGUCGGCUCCAGAGGCGCGGGCCCGCGUUUUGUUCGGCUGCACCCAGCGCCAGGCAGCCGGAGCCGGACAACUCCAGUUACAGCAACAAGCCACCUUCCCGUAGCCCGGCGAGACUCCGGCUGCUGCCGCGUCCGUCCUAUUGUUUAGACACUUGCCGGGGACUCCGGAGCCGGCCGAGCCGCCGCCUGCCCUCUCUCUCCCCGGAGGAGGAGGCCCAGGAAGCGGCAGGGCAGCCGGGAGAGGGGAAGGGGCUGCCGCAGCCGAGGCAGGUGCAGGACUCGGAGCCGGGCGGCGUCGCGACGUCGGCGGGCGGACCCCCACCGUGGCCGUGGGGCACGCGACUCAAAACCUUGGGAAAAGUUCCUGCACUUGGAGGAGGAGGAUCUACUGGUGGGCGGCUGCCUCGGCCGGCGGUCAUCUCUUCUACCUUUGCCAUCAGGUGUCUGCGCGGAGCUGCGGCGUCUCCGGGAGACCACAGGGGCUGCCACCCGCGCGCACGCACCGCGGCCGGGCCGUUCCCGGAGUCGCGGAUCCCACCGACCCGCCGGCCCCCCAGCCACCCUGCAGGACACCCCUGCAGGGCCCGGGUCGCGGACACCUCCACCUUGGCCUUUGCCUGUCGGCUCCUUCCGGCUUGCCCGGCUGUAAGUCCUGCUCCAGCCGGUGCCCACGAGGUCUUCGCGGGAGCUCUGGUCCUCAACUUCGCCUCUCGGAUUUCCUGUGCUGGGGUGCUGACCCCGUGGAUAUUUCUGCACGGCUGCAGCGAUCGGACUGCCCUUUUGUCUUUCCUGCGUGACCUCGGGGCAGGCCCUGGUGCAGAGCGUCGCCAAGGACGCCGGGCGGGAGGCGGGAUUGCCGAGACAUCCUCCAGCGAAGUGCAUGUGUGUUGGCAAACCAUCCUUGGCAGCCGGGAGACCGCGAGGACGGCUCGGGGCUGCGGCGGGGCUGCGGGCGGGGGAGAGGCCGCGUGA
rnacentral:lncRNA from 1 species